GGUGGGGCCCUUUCGGGAGGCAGCAGUGGGGAAUAUUGCACAAUGGGCGAAAGCCUGAUGCAGCGACGCCGCGUGAGGGAUGACGGCCUUCGGGUUGUAAACCUCUUUCAGCAGGGAAGAAGCGCAAGUGACGGUACCUGCAGAAGAAGCGCCGGCUAACUACGUGCCAGCAGCCGCGGUAAUACGUAGGGCGCAAGCGUUGUCCGGAAUUAUUGGGCGUAAAGAGCUCGUAGGCGGCUUGUCGCGUCGGAUGUGAAAGCCCGGGGCUUAACCCCGGGUCUGCAUUCGAUACGGGCAGGCUAGAGUGUGGUAGGGGAGAUCGGAAUUCCUGGUGUAGCGGUGAAAUGCGCAGAUAUCAGGAGGAACACCGGUGGCGAAGGCGGAUCUCUGGGCCAUUACUGACGCUGAGGAGCGAAAGCGUGGGGAGCGAACAGGAUUAGAUACCCUGGUAGUCCACGCCGUAAACGUUGGGAACUAGGUGUUGGCGACAUUCCACGUCGUCGGUGCCGCAGCUAACGCAUUAAGUCCCCGCCGGGGG
rnacentral:rRNA from 1 species